AUGAGAGGCGUGGGGAGGCCGCUCGGCGCGCUGCUGCUGGCUCUGCUCUGCCUGGCCGCGCAGCUCCAGGGCGCGUGCUGCCUCGGCAGAGGGGGCAGUGGAGGAGGCUCGCGCGGAGGGGCAGCGGAGGUUUCGGAAAAGGUGGUGGCCCCGACGGCGGGAGGAGCGGUGGCUCCGGCGAGCCAGGAGUGCCAGGACGACAACGGCCACCGCCGCAGCCGUCGCCGUCGCCGACGCCGCCAACACGACGACGACGACGACGACGACUGCAGCGCCGCGGCUGAACCGCGUGGCGGCGGCGUCUCGAGGGUCUCCGGUGCCGCCGCCGCCCUUGCUGCCGCAGCGCUCGUGUGGUGGCGCUGA
rnacentral:rRNA from 1 species